CCUCCCACCCGUGUCUAUCGUACCUUGUUGCUUCGGCGGGCCCGCCGUUUCGACGGCCGCCGGGGAGGCCUUGCGCCCCCGGGCCCGCGCCCGCCGAAGACCCCAACAUGAACGCUGUUCUGAAAGUAUGCAGUCUGAGUUGAUUAUCGUAAUCAGUUAAAACUUUCAACAACGGAUCUCUUGGUUCCGGCAUCGAUGAAGAACGCAGCGAAAUGCGAUAAGUAAUGUGAAUUGCAGAAUUCAGUGAAUCAUCGAGUCUUUGAACGCACAUUGCGCCCCCUGGUAUUCCGGGGGGCAUGCCUGUCCGAGCGUCAUUGCUGCCCUCAAGCACGGCUUGUGUGUUGGGCCCCCGUCCCCCUCUCCCGGGGGACGGGCCCGAAAGGCAGCGGCGGCACCGCGUCCGGUCCUCUAGCGUAUGGGGCUUUGUCACCUGCUCUGUAGGCCCGGCCGGCGCCAGCCGACACCCAACUUUAUUUUUCUAAGGUUGACCUCGGAUCAGGUAGGGAUACCCGCUGAACUUAAGCAUAUCAAUAAGCGGAGGAA
rnacentral:rRNA from 1 species